rnacentral:rRNA from 1 species
GAGUACGGCCAUACCACCAUGAAUGCGGCUGAUCUUGUCUGAUCUCGGAAGCUAAGCAGGGUCGGGCCUGGUUAGUACUUGGAUGGGAGGAAUACGUCUUAAAUUUU